UACGUAUGGGGCAAGCGUUAUCCGGAAUUAUUGGGCGUAAAGAGUGCGUAGGUGGUUACCUAAGCGCAAGGUUUAAUCUUGAGGCUCAACCUCAUUCUGCCUUGCGAACUGGGCUACUUGAGUGCUGGAGGGGAAAGCGGAAUUCCCAGUGUAGCGGUGAAAUGCGUAGAUAUUGGGAAGAACACCGGUGGCAAAGGCGGCUUUCUGGACAGUAACUGACACUGAGGCACGAAAGCGUGGGGAGCAAACAGGAUUAGAUACCCCCGUAGUCCCUGAG
rnacentral:rRNA from 1 species